GUAAGUUGGGGAUGGAGCUCUGCUAGGAAGAGGAAUGGGGACAGGUGGAAGGUUAGCACCCCAUGAGAACAAAGCUUGAGAAGUUUGGUAUCUUUAUUUCCUCCUUCAGCAUGGUCUUAAAUUCAGGACUUGAAAUACUACUGUGUGGUGGAGUUGGAUGUCAGUAACUGGAAAAGCAUGAUCAGUUGCUCUUGUUCUGUCUCAGUGGGACUAUUCAGAUCCAGGUGUAAUUCCAGGCACGUAUGAAGCAUUAAGGAAAUGUGGAUGACUGCAUGGUGUUUCAGAAUUGCUGAAUGCCUUUUACCUGCAGUGAAGAUGCACCAGCUGUUCAUUCUCUGCAACACAUGAUGAGGUGCUAACUGCAAUCAGAAUCAGAGCUUUUAGAGAAUGUUUCCAGCUCCAGCUG
ensembl:lncRNA